rnacentral:lncRNA from 1 species
CCAAAAUCUUUCAUCAGAUGAACCUGAAAUUUAAGGCAAAGAUCUUACAGGACCUACGUCUUUGGUUAGAAUAUAAUGCAAACUUUUCCAAAAAUAUUUUUCUAUGUGUUUAGCUGGUCAGACUAUUAAAAUGAGCAUGAAUAAUAUGAUAGCCAAAUAAGCAAUUAAAAUUUAAACAUUUAUACAUCUUAUGAUAUCUAUUUUAUAUAAAUGGGC